CUUGCGAUGCUUUACAGUACUAGUUAACGAAGCUGGAGACCAACUUGGUUUCGUGCAACUCUUCAUCUAGACAGUUACUUUCGACUAGUUUACUUCGACCCCUAGCGCAGACAGGUGCAUCCUUUACCUGAAUCUACAAGUCUCUGGUGAAUGGGAUAUUAUAAAACGAAAACAUGCAUACUGCAAAAUGCCUCGGCCCUUUAACUCUCUUAAAGUGAAGUUUCCACUUGAGUGGGAUCUUUUGGAGCUAAUCCAUACCCAUCCAAGUGCCUUGCCCUUUAUUCUGUCUCUGUGGACGUAGAUGGCUUGCUAGCUCGUUUCAGCACGAACUUCGCAUCGCCAGACGCGUUUCGACAGAAAGGAAAGCGAAAGUGAUACUGUCACGGAGGGCAGGACAAACUCUGUCGCCAAAAUAGAAAAGAAACCAAACCAGCGAUAUGAACUCCACACAAGAAACGCUCCCACCGAGAGAGGAAAUAAUAAGCAGUCUUUAUUAUUCAUCACGAAUCGGUUCGCUUCAGGGGAAGGUCGCUAAAUUGUAUAGUUUAGUUAACUUGUGUUUUGCAAAUGUUGCCAUUAGCUACCAGUAAAUAAUACAUUUUUGUCAAUACAGCGGUUCAGGGCAAAGUUACUUUUGUAACUAUUGAACCACACGUCCCACAUGAUAAAAUGGUUUGCCAGCUGACUUGCUAGCUAGAUUCCAAAAAGACUUGGGAGUUACAGUUCUCCGAGAGAUUUUGCUAAAGAUUACCUCAUACAGCUCUCAUAGGUCAGGGCCAAGUUACCCCUCCUACAGAUCUUCCUUUUGAAAGGGAUUGUUUGAAGAAUGGACAACCCUAACAGGAGAGGGGGACACAGGGGGAGAGGAAGAGGCAAUGCUGAACACAGGAGAGGUGGAGCUGCUGAGAGGGAGGACAACUGGAGGCCCAACCCUGGCAGAGGAGGAAGAGGGAGAGCCAGAGGGGAGAGGAGAGGCGGGAACAGGGGCGCCCUGCCAGAUGGCAGGAGGGAGGAUGGACAGAGAGAGAGGGGAGAGAGA